UACGGGGGGUGCGAGCGUUAAUCGGAAUCACUGGGCGUAAAGCGCGCGUAGGCGGCUUUUCAAGUCAGGGGUGAAAUCCCACGGCCCAACCGUGGAACUGCCUUUGAAACUGUAGAGCUUGAGUGUCGGAGAGGGUGGCGGAAUUCCAGGUGUAGGAGUGAAAUCCGUAGAUAUCUGGAGGAACACCGGUGGCGAAGGCGGCCACCUGGACGACAACUGACGCUGAGGUGCGAAAGCGUGGGUAGCAAACAGG
rnacentral:rRNA from 1 species